rnacentral:rRNA from 1 species
AUGAUAUGCGCGGAGCUCAGACAGGCGCUAUCCCCCCUGUUGGCACAGUCGGUCAGCAGGAAUCCCCCUCAAAAGCAAAGGAAGCCAAGGCAGAAGCGGGUGCCGGUUUCCUCCCCACAUCGAAGUGUCAGGGCGGCCAAGGGUGGGCGAGCGUCGAAGGCUUCCAAGCAGCAGGCGGUACUCAUCAGGAAACUGUGCCUUGCGCAUGAGGGAGAUGUGAUCUCGGAUGAGGCUCUUCAAGCCUACGUUGACUUGUUUGACAAGCCACUGGUGGAGAGUCACGUGAAGGCAAUUCUGGCCUUGUUCGGUUGGGAUUCGGAAGCGUUGCCGCUGGUGGGAGAGGAGGACGGGGUGAUGGUUGGGUUGUAG